UGAACACCUCAAAAUCUGCUCUGGAUUUUGGAAAUGGGCUGUUUUUGAAUGCUGGAAGCGAGUCUCGAAUCCAGCAGGCCUGAAAUUGAGAUAAAUCGCAGGAAGUAGGCGUGCAUAUGCCGGUCGCUGUUUGAGACGAAAUGGCUAUUAGUUGACAUGGUCAUCUUUGCCAAUUAUUCUUACGUGAACCGAGCAUAUGUUCAGCGUCAUCUCAAG
rnacentral:misc_RNA from 1 species